rnacentral:lncRNA from 1 species
GAGAAGAAAAUUAUUAGCCUUCAAUGACUCAGCUAUCCAAGAUCUAUAGAGUGCUUCGAGCUCUUUGAGACUACGUGAAAAUACACUUGAACAUUACAAUAGUGAGCAAAAUUAUCAAAUAAAUUAUUAAAUAUUCUAUCAUAUAUGGAGAGCAGAAUUAAAAUAUUUUUUAAGUUAUUACAAGUCUAAUGGUUCAAAAAUCACUCA